rnacentral:rRNA from 1 species
UACGAAGGGGGCUAGCGUUGUUCGGAUUUACUGGGCGUAAAGCGCACGUAGGCGGAUCUUUAAGUCAGAGGUGAAAUCCCAAGGCUCAACCUUGGAACUGCCUUUGAUACUGGGGAUCUUGAGUCCGGGAGAGGUGAGUGGAACUGCGAGUGUAGAGGUGAAAUUCGUAGAUAUUCGCAAGAACACCAGUGGCGAAGGCGGCUCACUGGCCCUGUACUGACGCUGAGGUGCGGAAGCGUGGGGAGCAAACAGG